AUACAGAGGGUGCGAGCGUUAAUCGGAAUUACUGGGCGUAAAGCGCGCGUAGGCGGUUUGUUAAGUUGGAUGUGAAAGCCCUGGGCUCAACCUGGGAACUGCAUUCAAAACUGGCAGGCUAGAGUAUGGUAGAGGGAAGUGGAAUUCCGGGUGUAGCGGUGAAAUGCGUAGAUAUCCGGAGGAACAUCAGUGGCGAAGGCGGCUUCCUGGACCAAUACUGACGCUGAGGUACGAAAGCGUGGGGAGCAAACAGGAUUAGAUACCCCAGUAGUCC
rnacentral:rRNA from 1 species